UGGGCUUAUUGAUUGUAUGUU
rnacentral:siRNA from 1 species